UACGAAGGGUGCAAACGUUGCUCGGAAUCAUUGGGCGUAAAGCGCGUGUAGGCGGUUCGGUAAGUCCGCUGUGAAAGUCGGGGGCUCAACCCUCGAAAGCCGAUGGAUACUCGUCGGACUAGAGUGCGGAAGAGGCGAGUGGAAUUCCUGGUGUAGCGGUGAAAUGCGCAGAUAUCAGGAGGAACACCAAUUGCGAAGGCAGCUCGCUGGGACUUACUGACGCUGAGACGCGAAAGCGUGGGGAGCAAACAGG
rnacentral:rRNA from 1 species